GGCGUCUUUCAGGCGUCCGAGUUGUAAUCUAUAGAGGCGUUUUCCGCGCCGGACCGCGUCCAAGUCUCUUGGAAUAGAGUAUCAAAGAGGGUGACAAUCCCGUACUUGACGCGACAACCGGUGCUCUGUGAUACGUUCUCAAUGAGUCGAGUUGUUUGGGAAUGCAGCUCUAAAUGGGUGGUAAAUUCCAUCUAAGGCUAAAUAUUGGCGAGAGACCGAUAGCGAACAAGUACCGUGAGGGAAAGAUGAAAAGCACUUUGGAAAGAGAGUUAAACAGCACGUGAAAUUGUUAAAAGGGAAACGAUUGAAGUCAGUCGUGUGAAAGGUAUUCAGCCGUCUCUGGCGGUGUAUUUGCCUUUCACGGGUCAACAUCAGUUUGAUCCGGUAGAAAAAGGCGGGAGGAAGGUGGCACCCUCGGGUGUGUUAUAGCCUCCUGUCAUAUGUGCCGGACCAGACUGAGGAACGCAGCUUGCCGCAAGGCCGGGGUUCGCCCACGUACAAGCUUAGGAUGUUGACAUAAUGGCUUUAAACGAC
rnacentral:rRNA from 1 species